rnacentral:tRNA from 1 species
GGAGGGUACAGCUCAGAGGUAGAGCACAUGCUUAGAAUCACAAAGUCCUGGGUUCAAUCCCCAGGACCUCCA